CCACUUAAAGCAGUGGGUUUUCUUUUAUUUUUAAAGUAUAAUCAUUACCCUUCCUGGUAAACUUCCGUGUCUUCUCAAACUGAGUGUUGGGUAGGUAGCCCUGGGGACUGCUGGGUGUCCUCCGUCGCAGGCCCACAGUACACGAUGGAGCUGUGGGAGGAGAGUUCCACUAGAGUCUGGGAGGAGGGACUGAUGACAAUUUUUCGUGGUUGACUAAGUUUUUUAAAAAGCCACUUCCAAGGGCACAUCAACCAGUCAGCGAAGCCACUUGUUCCAGCGGGAGGUGGGAGGUGGGGGCGGGGUGGAGCGUGUGGAGACGACACUCACAGUCGGAAGCGGUGCCUUCCAAGUGUCGCCCAGCGUCCCAGGCCCCGCCACCAAAACGCACACCCCCGACCACCUCCUGCAGGGAACUCCUGGGGAUUCUUCCGGCGGAGUCCAGCCUGGAGAGCUCCCCGGACUCGGCGCGAACUGCCCGCCUCCUCCCGCUGUCUCCGCCCCCCGCCGGGGCCGCCGGGCGCUGAGGGAGGCGAGGGUGCCGCGGCGGAAAAUGAGCGGUGCCGGGAGGGUGGCCCGGAGCUGCAGCGCCGUUCGCGCGGCGGGUCCCGGGAGCCGCGGGCGGCCGAGGCUGCGGUGAAGCGGGUCUCGUGGCGGGCGCCGGAUGCCUCGGAAUGGAAGAGUUUCUCUGCAGAUCGCGCCUCACUCUCUGGCCAUCGUCCUGGCCCGGCCGAGGGCGGGCGGGGGAGAGGUCCAGCCUCGCAGCCCGGCCCCCCGGCCCAGCCGCGGCGCUCGCCCGGCACCACACAUCGGCUACGAAUCUUCGCCGACUUCAAAGCCGAGAACAUGCAGCACUUCUGGAACAAGAAGGUCACGGCCGCGGUGGCCGAGACUUUCUUCCUGGGCUGGAUCGACGACAGGUCCUGCUGAUCCAGGGCAAGGAGGAGCAUCUGGAGGCGCUGCGGGAGGGCUGGUCGCGCCGGGCACUGCGGCCGCCCUCGGGCUUCCACAUCCGCUGCCUCGGUGGAAACCUGUGCUAGCAGGUAGGAGCGCUUUUGUGGAAAGUACGGGCAAAAAAGCCUGACCCCAGCAAUAUUCCUGCCGGAGCCCAGCGGGCUGCUCACGUGUUCAGCAAGUUGUAAUUCUCAUCGUGCUGCUUUUUGGGUAUUUUCACCUGUGACUGAAGAGAACUGAGGGGGAUCCAAACCCGGGCUUGAAAGGUCAGAGGUCGCAGCUUCACGCGUUUUUGUGCUCUUUGCUGUGAUGUCACGGGUGUUGGCGGGGGACCCCGUGGGGAGGUUGGUUGGCAGGUGGGUCACGUUGGUGAGGUGACCAGUGCCUCCCCCUCGCAGCCGCCGGGCACUGGGCUCCUCUCAGCAGCCUUCCCUCCACUUCCAUCACUGGGUCAGCGGGCAGAGCACCCCCAUCCUUGUCCCUGUCAGGUUGGGCUCCAACUCUAGGGGUCUGUGAGUGGUCAGGCUGGGGGUCUGAUCACAGAUUGGAGCUUAGGAAGUUGGAUCCAGGCAGGGCUCCAGACUCAGUGUGUCCCCGCAGUGGCCCUUCGCUCAGCGGGGACGGAGGUGUGGGCCGGUGAUGAAUCUGUGUUGGGUCUCACAGCCAGAGUGUCCCAGAACCAAGGCCAGAGCCCGGGGGCAGCCAGGACGCUCAACUCUGCUCCCCUGAGACUCCUUCCUGCCUGUCCUGUCAGCCUUUCGGGACUGGGGUGUCUGC
ensembl:lncRNA